ACGACCUUACUUGAACAGGAUCUGUUCUAUAGGAUCGUUCCGCUAUAUGCUUGACCAAUAAGGAGGCAAGCACUUAAUCUUGGUUGAUGACAAAUGACCUGUACGCCAGAGCGUGAUUAACGGCUCAGAUCGCUUCCCUGUACUGCGAUCCCAUUUGCUGUAGAGGAUCGUUCCUGGUCGGCUUCGGGCCGCCCUGGGUGGCCUACAGCUUGUCUGACAAGCC
rfam:Brachypodium distachyon strain Bd21 chromosome 1, whole genome shotgun sequence.